CCUACGGGUGGCAGCAGUGGGGAAUAUUGGGCAAUGGAGGCAACUCUGACCCAGCAACGCCGCGUGAAUGAUGAAGGUCUUCGGAUUGUAAAGUUCUGUGAUGGGGGAUGAACACAAUGACGGUACCCCAAUCGCAAGCCACGGCUAACUACGUGCCAGCAGCCGCGGUAAUACGUAGGUGGCAAGCGUUAUCCGGAAUGACGGGGUGGAAAGGGAGCGUAGACGGCGAUGCAAGUCUGAAGUGAAAGGCGGGGGCCCAACCCCCGGACUGCUUUGGAAACUGGAUGGCUGGAGUGCAGGAGAGGUAAGUGGAAUUCCUAGUGUAGCGGUGAAAUGCGUAGAUAUUAGGAGGAACACCAGUGGCGAAGGCGACUUACUGGACUGUAACUGACGUUGAGGCUCGAAAGCGUGGGGAGCAAACAGGAUUAGAUACCCGUGUAGUC
rnacentral:rRNA from 1 species